rnacentral:piRNA from 1 species
UUAUGGAAAAGGACUCUGAAAAAC